rnacentral:rRNA from 1 species
UGGAGAGUUUGAUCCUGGCUCAGGACGAACGCUGGCGGCGUGCUUAACACAUGCAAGUCGAACGGUGAAGCCCUUCGGGGUGGAUCA